AUGUUCACUUGGCUCGCCGACCUUGACCGAUGCUGGACCUCCGCUAGACUCGCUCGGCAUGGUCUGCCGCACAAUGAUCGUUGUGCCCUGUGCGACCAGGCUGAAGAGACCAUGCAACACAUCAUCAUCGGCUGCCCUUUCUCUCGGCAGAUUUGGCAUGACGUACUCGCCUGGGUUCGUGCUACUACCCCACCCCCCUCUGGAGAUGAAGCCUUCCUUCGCUGGUGCUCGGCCACAAUCAAGGGAUCCCCCACCGGCCACCGCAAAGGCCUCGCUACGUUGGCUGUGCUCACGGCAUGGUCCAUUUGGCGACACCGCAACAGUUGCGUCUUCGACGGCGAGAACCCCUCCUCCUCGCGACUUGUUGCUUCGAUCCAGGAGGAGGCCCGCGCCUGGGCUAGAGCAGGCGCACGCGGACUAGGCGCUCUAUUAGCAUAG
rnacentral:rRNA from 1 species